GACGAACGCUGGCGGCAGGCCUAACACAUGCAAGUCGAGCGGACCUUUCGGGGUCAGCGGCGGACGGGUGAGUAACGCGUGGGAAUAUGCCCUUCUCUACGGAAUAGUCCUGGGAAACUGGGGGUAAUACCGUAUACGCCCUUUGGGGGAAAGAUUUAUCGGGGAAGGAUUAGCCCGCGUUGGAUUAGGCAGUUGGUGGGGUAAUGGCCUACCAAGCCGACGAUCCAUAGCUGGUUUGAGAGGAUGAUCAGCCACACUGGGACUGAGACACGGCCCAGACUCCUACGGGAGGCAGCAGUGGGGAAUCUUAGACAAUGGGGGCAACCCUGAUCUAGCCAUGCCGCGUGAGUGAUGAAGGCCUUAGGGUUGUAAAGCUCUUUCAGCUGGGAAGAUAAUGACGGUACCAGCAGAAGAAGCCCCGGCUAACUCCGUG
rnacentral:rRNA from 1 species